AAACACUCUGGCAAUGUUUCACAUGUGAUGUAUAAUCUACCGCUGAUCUCCGCAUUACGCCCUGGGAAACUUUUACUUAGGUUAUACAUGUUUGCAUUAACACUCAUAAGAGCCAGUACGCUUGUUUCACAACUGAUUUUCUCAGGGACCGAUGUUGUUGUGUUAUGUUUGAGUAUUGUGUAUGAUGGUCAGUGAUGCGCAGCGCGCGGCUCAUCCUGCAGCGUUCACACGCGCUCUACAGACGCGUCAGUACACGGUCUGCUGUUGGAGCUGCUUUAAUGUUCAGCACCGGCGAGUGGACUAUUUACAGAAAAAUGUGAAGUGUCUUUUUCUUUGCAAUUCUUCCCAUAAGGCCUGCACCCCUGAGUCUUCUCUUUACUGUUGUACAUGAAACUGGUGUUGAGCGGGUAGAAUUCAAUGAAGCUGUCAGCUGAGGACAUGUGAGGCGUCUAUUUCUCAAACUAGAGACUCUGAUGUACUUAUCCUCUUGUUUAGUUGUACAGCUGGUCUUCCACAUCUCUUUCUGUCCUUGUUAGAGUCAGUUGUCCUUUGUCUUUGAAGACUGUAGUGUACACCUUUGUGUGAAAUCUUCAGGUUUUUUUGGCAAUUUCAAGCAUUGUAUAGCCUUCAUUCCUCAAAACAAUGAUUGACUGAUGAGUUUCUAGAGAAAGCUGUUUCUUUUAAUAUUAUUAAACCUAAUAUUGACCUUAAGACAUGCCAGUCUAUUGCAUACUGUGGCAACUCAAAAACAAACACAAAGACAAUGUUAAGCUUCAUUUAAUGAACCAAAUAGGUUUCAACUGUGUUUGAUAUAAUGGCAAGUGAUUUUCUAGUACCAAAUUUAGCAUGAUUACUCAAGGAUGAGGUGUUGUUUUUUCAAAUAGUGAUGAUGCUGUUUUUUUACAUCAGUAAUGUCCUGACUAUACUUUGUGAUCAGUUGAAUGCCACUUUGGUGAAUUAAAGUACCAAUUUCCUUCCGAAACAGCAAAAUCUGUACAUUAUUCCAAACUUUUGGCUGCCAGUGUAUAUGUAUAUAGUGACAUACAAAUAAAAAAAUAAGAUAUAACAGAUUAAAAAAAAAAAGAGAAAUAGACAAUAGAGCAAUAAUGUUGUUCGAAUAUUUUAUAUACAGAUAUACAGUUAUGUGCAGGUGAUGUAUUGAAGAAGAGGUAGGAUACAUAUGUUAAAAAAUAUAAAUGAAAUAUAGAUAUAAGUAGGAAUGGAUGGAUUGAAUAUUACACAUGGUUGUGUUGAUAAAAAGGAAAGUAUUUGGGGUCAGUAUUAACUGUUCAUGAUGUGGAUGGCCUGAGGGGAAAAACUGUUCCUGUGCCUGGUGGUUCUGAUGCUCAGUGCUCUGUAGCGCCGGCCAGAGGGCAACAGUUUGAAGAGGAAGUGUGCUGGAUGCAUGGGGUCAAGAGUGAUUUUACCAGUCCUUUUCGUCACUCUGGAUGUGUACGGCUCUAGCAUGGCGGGUAGGGGAGUGCCAAUAAUACUCUCAGCAGUCCAAACUAUCUUUUGAAGUCUUUUGAGGUCUGACUUAGGAGCUGAACCAAACCAGACAGUUUGUGCAGAGGACAGACUCAAUUACUGCUGAGUAGAACUGGAUCAGCAGCGCCUGUGGCAAGUUGAACUUCCUCAGCUGGCGAAGCCUGCAUUGAUAUUGGAACCUUUGUACAGAAAGCUUGAAGAAUUUGCUGGAGAAUGAAGCUGUUUUAGCCCAGACACAAGGCAAGU